CUGAGGGUCAGAGCUGUGGUUUAGUGGUAGAACAUCUGCUUGGCAUGUAGAAGGUCUCAAAUUCAAUCCCUGGCCCCACCAGA
rnacentral:tRNA from 1 species